UGUGUUUCUCAAUCUUAAGCCCAAUUUUUAAGUGUGUCUACGUGUCACUGGUUACCUUGCAAAUGCUUUACUUUGUCAACCUGCAUGGCUUCACAAACAGGUUAUGUAAUGUUACGUAAUAGGCAGACACAUAAUCAGUUACAGCAGUGCUAUGCAUUCAGGCAUGAUAAGUUACUAAUUAUUCAUAGUAGCAUUAAGACUGCUUCACUGCAUUUUACAUAGGAGGUACUACACGGAGCAGGGAGAUCCGCACCAAGUUCUAUCUCUGACUGGUCAUCAACACUUUCAUUUGGCUUUAUUGGAAUGGAACGGGUGCCAAGAACUGGUGAUGGAUAGGUUAUUUUCCGAUGCAAGUCUGGUGAUGCUAUUUGGUUAACGUAUAUCUGCUCGUCUUUGUUUGUAUCUAAUGGUUUGAUGUCAGGUUGGUAAAGUCUGAAUCAUUGGUUGAUUCAAUAAACAUGGAUUGUGUUGUACGUUCAUCAUUUUCUCCAGGGAUGUGUGACAGCGCAGACUGGCUGGAGUACCGCACUGUUGAAUUUUUAAAGUCGGCAUUA
rnacentral:lncRNA from 1 species